UACACUGCCAAUGUAACUCCCUGACUCCCUAGUGGCUGGUGAUACUGGGCAGUGAGGGGCCAUGUGCACCACACCACCACACCACUCCCAUACUCUUCUCAGGUGACAGAAACCAGACCCAAGCCCACCUCUGCCCACCAAACGGUUCAGAACAUACAGAGGUACUAUGCCACGUGCCACUCCAAUCAUAGACUUGCAGUACAUACACACGUCAUUAAAUAGAGCUUGUCUGUGUGUCCUGCAGCCAGAGGGGUUGAUCUGAAGGAGGGAUAAGCUGGCCAUGGGGUCGUCACCAGUGAACCCUGACGGGACACUCAAGGAUAAAGAGAAAAUUAGCAGACAUCUUUUUUUUUUUAAAUGGUGUUUAUUGUUGGUCUGCUUUCCUUGUGCAUAAAGAAGAAGAAGAAGAAGACGAAGAAGAAGAAAGAAGAAGAAGAAGAACUGAAGAAGUGAAUAAUAAUAAGAACAAGAACAAGAACUGAAGAAAAACAACAACAACAACAAUAACAUCAACAACAACAGCAACAACAACGUCUCACAGUGGUCGCGUGCUGUACUUAGGGCGUUCCAUCCUGUAUCCUUUCUCCAGGGCCUUGAUGAAACUCUCGUCCACGGACACACCAGGGAAAGGGCACUGACCCAGGCUGCGGGGAGACGGCCAAGCGCAUCUGCCAGCAGCCGUGCCCCCUCACCCACCUGAAUAUCUCCCACAGCACCACACCAUAUGACCACACGUCGCUCUGGGUGGAGAAGAUCCCAUCCCUCAGCGCCUCCACCGACAUCCACUUGACUGGGAGCGGAGACUGUGAAUAGAAGGAAAGGAUAUUUUUAUGUCCCCGUGCAGCACCUGAAGGAGAGGGGGACGAGAUAGAUCAAGAUUAGGUAACUUCCGAUCUUGGACGAUUCUGAUUAGUUCGAGUAUAACAAGAAUGAAAGAGAGGAGAAGACAGGGAGGAAGACGAUGGUGCUGCUGCUGGGGCGGUGUGGAGAGACAAAUGGAAGGAUGGUCGAGGCUUUGAAGGAGUUCCUGGAGAGAAUGUGUUAUGCCAAAUAAUGUAGGAGUUAGUGUUGUGAUAGAUACUUUUUUUUUCUUUUUCCUACAGAAGUUAAUGUUACAAAGGCCUGACUUAGCCCCAUAUUCAGAAACGACUAUUUUCAAAGGCCAUAGAGAUGAUUAGUCUGGCUCUUAAUAGUAUUUCCCCUGUUAAUAAUGCAAAAACCUUAUUAACCUGUCACUAGAACCAUAAAAAAUCCUUAAAAAAAAAAACACGUGUAACAUCAACUAAAGCCUCUCGUAAGUAGGUGAGGUGCGGGAGAAAGUGUUUAAGAAUAUAUUCCUUAAUUAAGAGCAAACCUAAUUCGCCUGCAACAUCAAAAUAAAACUGAGGCCAGUGCUUAGAAACGCUUAGCUCUCUCACCACUGUUAUUUUCAAAGACCACAGAAAUGAUCAGCAAGGUUCUUAAGAGUGUUUUUCUAUCAUUAAUAUAGAAAUCUCAUUAAUCUGUCACUAGAAUCAUAAAAAAAACACUCUGCUCUCUCACCAGCUAUUUUUAAUCGCCACAAAGAUGAUUAGCAAGGUUCUCAAGAGUGUUUUUCUAUUACUAAUGUAGAAAUCUUAUUAAUCUGUCACUAGAACCAUAAAAACACCCUUAAAUACACGCGUCACUUCAAUUAGAGCCUCUUGAAAGUAGUGAAGAUGAGGGAGGAGGUGUUUCAGAAUAUUAAGAACAUCCCUGAGUCACCUACAACAUUAAAAUCAAACUAACCUUUC